GCUUGUCUAGCUCAGUUAGUAGAGCGCAAGGCUCUUAACCUUGUGGUCGUGGGUUCGAGCCCCACGUUGGGCA
rfam:Ipomoea nil DNA, scaffold: scaffold1250, cultivar: Tokyo-kokei standard.